CAUUGUCUGUGGUGUCACCACGGGCACAGCUCCCAAGUCCUGCAGGUUUAAUGAGCCUGAGCACACUUCUCCCAUCCCCAGGCACAGCAGCUGGAAAUCUGAAACAAAUAUUCCUAGCUUCAUUUCCCAAGGCUGAGAGAGGGCCUAAUAUGAGCCAUCAACACCCAGAGGUCACUGGUUUAGGAGGAUUUAUGGAUGGAAAAGUAGAGGUGGCCAAAGCCCAGGGUACUCUGAUCAUUCUGGAGAGAAAGCAUCUUCAAGAGGAUCAAAAGGCAACCUGGCACCCUUCUAAACUGGAGGUCCUCUGAAGAGAAUGAUCCUAAUUGAUGGUAAACCAAGGUCACAGCGCUGCAGGAUAAAUCUCAGCACCAGAAACACUUUCACACCUUGGGAAGUCUUCUGUCUUGGGAGACAAUACAGAAGAGAGUCCCUGACAUGGCUUUUCCACUGGGAAUGCAAUGAAAGUGUUGAUAACUUCACACCUGAACUGGCUUUCCUUCUGUCUACUCUUCCCAUAAUGAACAAUCUUGCUUUACUGCUGUCACACCUGCCUCAGUAAUUCCCCAAAUGCCCCUUUACACCAGUGGGUCUCUCACCUGGACCUGUGCACAGCAGGAAAUACAAACUCUCAGACCUGCCCUACUCUCAUUAUCAAAGCUCUUAAUGCUUCCAGCAGUACUGACUCCCUUGCACUGCAACUCUGCUUCUCCUGAUAUGUUCUGAAAGUGCUUGGUGGAAAAAAAAAUACAGUGUAAAAUAAAUGAUCUUGGGGAAAUAGUAUCACUAGGCAAAUACUGCCUGAAUAAUUCUGGAAUGAGAAGAGAGACUGAGUGAAUUUCCUCAUUCACAGUGACAAACCAGCACGCUGCACUUAGAACCAGGAAAACCAGAAUGAAGAUUUCCCUGUAACUAUAGAAAUGGAGCAGCUAUUUUAUGGCACUGAUUACUCACCUCCAAGAUCUUCAACAUAUUCUGCUGGAAAAUGCAACCUCUGAAACACUCCUGCUAUGCAUGAGA